rnacentral:rRNA from 1 species
CCUACGGGCGGCAGCAGUGAGGAAUAUUGGUCAAUGGGCGCGAGCCUGAACCAGCCAAGCCGCGUGAAGGAGGAAUGCCCUACGGGUUGUAAACUUCUUUUGUAAAGGAAUAAAGUGUGGCACGUGUGCCUUUUUGUAUGUACUUUAUGAAUAAGGAUCGGCUAACUCCGUGCCAGCAGCCGCGGUAAUACGGAGGAUGCGAGCGUUAUCCGGAUUUAUUGGGUUUAAGGGGAGCGUAGACGGGUUGUUAAGUCAGUUGUGAAAGUUUGCGGCUCAACCGUAAAAUUGCAAUUGAUACUGGCAGCCUUGAGUACAGUAGAGGUAGGCGGAAUUCGUGGUGUAGCGGUGAAAUGCUUAGAUAUCACGAAGAACUCCGAUGGCGAAGGCAGCUUACUAAACUGCCACUGACAUUGAUGCUCGAAAGUGUGGGUAUCAAACAGGAUUAGAUACCCUAGUAGUC